AUCACCUUUUAAAAGAAGUCCAGAGAGGCUUAAAAGGGUGUUGCUGUAAAGAUGAAUGAGAACGGGGAAAAGUGUAAACCAUUCCGUGUCCUCACAAUCUUUAUGACCUACACCCUGUCCUUAAUGGCGGGGUGUUUUUUAU
rfam:Bacillus sp. FJAT-22058 super1, whole genome shotgun sequence.